rnacentral:tRNA from 1 species
UGGGGUUGUGGCUCAGCGGUAAAGCGCUCGCCUCACAAGUGCGAGGCCCUGGGUUCAAUCCUCAGCACCACAA